UGUGACCACACAAUCCCUUUAAAACCUGGAACUGUACCUCCUCAUACUAGGCCUUACAGAGUCCCUCUGCACCAGAAGAAGGAAAUGGAAGAGCAAAUCAAGAAAUUAUUGGCAGCUCACUUUAUCAGACACAGUCAAAGUCCUUAUGCUGCUCCUGUAAUCUUGGUCAAGAAGGACAACUCUAUGAGGUUAUGUACUGAUUUCAGGAAAUUAAACUCCCUAACCAUCAAAAACAAAUUUCCUAUUCCUGUUAUAGAGGAUUUGUUGGAUGAGUUACAAGGGGCAAAGUACUUCUCCAAAUUAGAUCUGAGGGCAGGCCACCAUCAGAUCAGAAUGCACCCAGAUGACAUUCAUAAAACUGCAUUCAGAACAUUCUUGGGCCACUUUGAAUACUUAGUAAUGCCUUUUGGCUUAUCCAAUGCUCCUGCUACUUUUCAAGCCCUAAUGAACAAGAUCUUUGGGCCUCAUCUGAGAAAGUUUGUGCUAGUGUUCUUUGAUGACAUUCUCAUCUACAGCAAGACAUUGGAAGAGCACAUUGAGCAUGUAGAAGAUGUGUUUAGAAUACUGAAGGAAAAUCAGUUAUGUGCAAAACUCUCUAAAUGUGUGUUUGCAGUUCCACAAGUAGAGUACUUGGGUCAUGUCAUAUCUGCUGAAGGGGUAGCUACUGAUCCACAGAAAAUCAAAGCUAUUGCGGAGUGGCCCAUUCCUGACAAUGUCACUAAACUGAGAAGUUUCCUGGGCUUAGCUGGUUACUAUGGAAGAUUUAUUAAGGGCUAUGGAGUUAUUUGCAGACCUUUGCAUGAUCUCCUUAAAAAGGGGCAGUUCAAGUGGACAAGUGCACAUGAUGUAGCCUUCUCUCAGUUGCAACAAGCACUGAUUACUGCCCCAGUGCUUGCUCUGCCCAACUUUUCAUUACCUUUUGUAUUAGAGACUGAUGCUUCAGGAAAGGGUAUAGGAGCAGUACUCAUGCAACAGGGAAAACCCUUGGCAUAUUAUAGUUCUUCCUUGUGCCCAAAAAAUGCAGCAUUGUCCACUUAUGAGAAAGAAGCUCUGGCUAUUUUGGAAGCUUUGAAAAGAUGGAGGCAUUAUCUCAUUGGACAUGAGUUGAUCAUUACAACAGAUCAACAAUCCCUAAAGUUCAUAACUGACCAGAAAAUCACAGAAGGG
rnacentral:rRNA from 1 species